rnacentral:rRNA from 1 species
GGCAACGACGGGCCGGCGGCGGCGGUAAUAGGUGGGGGGCGGGCGUUGGCCGGAGGUGCUGGGCGUAAAGGGCAUGCAGGCGGUCGGACGCUGUUUGUGUGACAGCGGGUGGCUCAACUACCCGAGCAUGCGAAAGACGGUUGGACGUGAGGGCUCGAGAGGGACACGGAAUUCCGGGUGGAGUGGUGAAAUGCGUAGAGAUCCGGAGGAACACCGAAGGCGAAGGCAGUGUCCUGGCGAGUGACUGACGCUGAGGUGCGAAAGCCAGGGGAGCGAACGGGAUUAGAUACCCCUGUAGUC